rnacentral:rRNA from 1 species
CGAAGUAAUUGCUUUGAUACUACGCCAUGUCUAGUCAUUGUAGUAAUACAAGGCAGACGGCUCAUUUUCGCUUACUCUAAAUAACCUAUGGACGAUAAUAACCUCGGGAAACUGACCUUAAUGCCCGAUAGAACACUAUGCCUGGAAUGGUUUGUGUUCCAAAUGAUUUAUCGCCGGAGUAUGGGACUGCGCCCUAUCAGUUUGUUGGUGAGGUAAUGGCCCACCAUGAUUAUUGCGGGAACGUGCUCUGAGAUGAGUGUCCCGGAGAUGGGUACUGAGACACGGAUACAGGCCCUAUGGGGCGCAGCUAGUGAGAAAACUAUGCUAUGUGCGAUAGCACGACGAGGAUUGUCCGAGUUGCUUCUGCUAAAGGUGCCUUUUGUCGUGCCUUAAAGCAUCGAUCAAUGAGGGGUGAUUUACUUCUGGUGUCAUGCGCCGCCGUCAAAUUAGCCGCUCAAGUGGUCAGGAUGAUUAUUGGGUCUAAAUGAUCCGAGAGCUGCUUUGUUACGUUUUCGGUUAAAUCUGUGCGCUCAACGUAAAGGCUGCCGGGAAUACUGCAGAUCUAGGGAGUGGGAGAGGAAGACAGGACUCGGAACGAAGGAGGGAAAUGCUUUUAUCUAUUGUUGAUCAGCUGCGGCGAAAUGAGGAUAACCAAAAACAUCCAAAUGAGGUCGAAGGAAGCUGGACGACGAAAGCCUAUUAAAUUACCGGGUAGUUCCAGCUGGAAACUU